rnacentral:rRNA from 1 species
UACGAAGGGUGCAAGCGUUAAUCGGAAUUACUGGGCGUAAAGGGUGCGUAGGCGGUUGCUUAAGUCUGUUGUGAAAUCCCCGGGCUCAACCUGGGAAUGGCAUUGGUGACUGCACGGCUAGAGUGUGUCAGAGGGGGGUAGAAUUCCACGUGUAGCAGUGAAAUGCGUAGAGAUGUGGAGGAAUACCGAUGGCGAAGGCAGCCCCCUGGGAUAACACUGACGCUCAUGCACGAAAGCGUGGGGAGCAAACAGG